rnacentral:rRNA from 1 species
AGGCGGUUCUCUAAGAGGCCCGCUAUCGGAAUGGGUACAAUUUAAACCCUUUAACGAGGACCUAUGAGAGGGCAAGUCUGGUGCCAGCAGCCGCGGUAAUUCCAGCUCUCAAGGUGUAUAUCGCCAUUGCUGCGGUUAAAAAGCUCGUAGUUGGAUCUGCGCCUUCGGACUCGGUCCUCCCAACGGGUGCGAACUGAGCUCCAAGGCUACUACUGCUGGUUUUCCCUUGAUGCUCUUCACUGGGUGUCUUGGGUGGCUAGCGAGUUUACUUUGAAAAAAUUAGAGUGCUCAAAACAGGCUAUUGCCUGAAUACCGGUGCAUGGAAUAAUAGAAUAGGAUCUCGGUCCUAUUUUGUUGGUUUUCGGAACUGAGAUAAUGGUUAAGAGGGACAGACGGGGGCAUUCGUAUCGCUGCGUGAGAGGUGAAAUUCUUGGACCGCAGCGAGACGCCCAACUGCGAAAGCAUUUGCCAAGAAUGUCUUCGUUAAUCAAGAACGAAAGUCAGAGGUUCGAAGGCGAUCAGAUACCGCCCUAGUUCUGACCGUAAACGAUGCCAACUAGCGAUCCGCCGGUGGUAAUUACGCCCCGGCGGGGAGCUUCCCGGAAACGAAAGUCUUCCGGUUCCGGGGGAAGUAUGGUUGCAAAGCUGAAACUUAAAGGAAUUGACGGAAGGGCGCCACCAGGAGUGGAGCUUGCGGCUUAAUUUGACCCAACACGGGAAAACUCACCCGGCCCGGACACCGUAAGGAUUGACAGAUUGAGAGCUCUUUCUUGAUUCGGUGGUUGGUGGUGCAUGGCCGUUCUUAGUUGGUGGAGCGAUUUGUCUGGUUUAUUCCGAUAACGAACGAGACUCUGGCCUACUAACUAGUGACAGAAUUAUUGCUGUUCUGGUUACUUCUUAGAGGGACAAGUGGUGUUCAGCCACACGAAAUUGAGCAAUAACAGGUCUGUGAUGCCCUUAGAUGUCCGGGGCUGCACGCGUGCUACACUGGAGGAAACAGCAUGCAAAACCAUUGCCGAGAGGCAUUGGUAAACCCAAGAAAAUCUUCCGUGAUCGGGAUCGGGAAUUGCAAUUAUUUCCCUUGAACGAGGAAUUCCCAGUAAGUGUGGGUCAUCAGCUCGCGCUGAUUACGUCCCUGCCCUUUGUACACACCGCCCGUCGCUGCCCGGGACUGAGCCGUUUCGAGAAAAGCGGGGACUGCUGCUGUCGGGGCUUUCGGGCCUUGGCUUCGGUGGAAACCGCUUUAAUCGCAGUGGCUUGAACCGGGCAAAAGUCGUAACAAGGUUUCCGUAGGUGAACCUGCGGAAG